ensembl:lncRNA
UGGUUUUGCUGUUCGUCAUCGCUGGACUCUUUUCUCCGUGCUCUUUCCUCACAUCAGGUCAGAAAUGUCUCCCAUUGUUUACAAUUUUAUCAUAAUAAAUGUUUACAUUACUAAAAGCUCAUUUGUGAUGUUUUAUGGAUAAACUGUGUGGUGUUACAGGUGGAAACGGCAUGAAUGUAUAUUACUGCGACACUGAAAACUGUGUCAAUGAUGUAAAGCGUGUUUACUGUGAAGAUCUAGAGCUCCUGGGUUUCAAAUUGUCAGAGAUUUCAAAUUGUUCCUACGGUCCGCUUCCACCCAAUACCAUCUGCCAACACAGAGGCCACUUGUUUGUCUCCACCUUCUUAAAGUCCUGUGAAUUUGAAGGGGACACUGACUAUAUAGAGACCAAAAAUUGUACAGACUGCUCUUUUUUAAAUAGAGCUACCACACCGGCAGUCACCCCAAGCACUGUGGAAACAUCUUCGCAGCCCAAUUCCAAACUUCUAGGUGUCGUGCCCGCAGUAGCCUGUUCUACAGGUGUGGUACUGCUGUUAGCGGGUUUCUUUUACAGAAAAGCAAAAAAUCAGCAACAACAAAGGUAACUAAAAUUAAAAAAUAACUUGACUAAUUUGAUAAAAGUAUCCAAAUUUAAAAUAAUGUUUUGUAUCUUUAGACAGACUCAAACCAGUCCUGGGUUGCAGAAUGACAGCUCAUUAGUCUAAUGCCUUGGAUCUAACAUCAUACUCCUUGUUCGAGGCCAGGGCAUGCCUCCACUAAGGGUCCUUCCUGCUACCCAAGCCUACUGUGAGGGACAACUGUAGCCAUGCCGGCUCGGACGUCGUCUUGAUUAAGGUCUGCAUGAGGUGUUGAAGAACCAGAAGAGUUUACAUAAGCAGACAGCAUCAUUCUGAUGCUCGCACUUUUGGCUAGUACUUAAAUAGGGCUUUUCCAAGUGAUGGCAACAUCAAGAAGAAGGAAUGCUCAAUAGCAGAAUAAGCUGUUUAGUACUACCUGAAAGAAUUUGCCAAGUUUUUCAUGGGGGAAAUCCAAAAAUGUAUUUUCCUCACAAAUGUGACACAUUUAUGUGGAAAUACACAGGCUUUCCAACAUGGAAGUACAAAGAAGGAUUGUUACAACCAACUUUAUAUUAUCUGUAGAUGUAUUAUUAUGUGUGUAAAAAGAAAAUAAUCAUAUUUCUAACCAAAAUGGUUUUCCCUCUUUAAAAUUGUUUAUUUAUUCUUCUUCUCAUUAUGUUCUCUAUGAGACUGGCUGUUGUCAGGGCCCAUUUGUGCCCCUUUACAUACUUUUUUUUUAAUCCAGUGGUGCACUGAAUGAGAAGCAGGAAAGGAAGUGUACAUUUGAUUCAAAGAAAUGGGAUGUAGUCUAUAUUUACAGCUAUAUGCAGUAAACUUUGUUAUUAGAGACAAGGACAUUUAGUUAUUUCUGAACAUGUGUAAGGCUGUCAAACAGUAAUUGUUUUGGCCUUUUCUGAGAAGAAAACAGUUCUUUAUAGCACCUAAAAGUAUCACUACAGAAAUAUGCAUUGGUGGAUUUCUUUACAGAGAAGUGGGUGAAAAUUCCUCCAGAGCUGUGUGCAAACUUAUGCUUUUCAGCAAGGAUUCCUCCAUCAUGUAUCACAUCAGUGGUUCCCAAACUUUUUUUUUGCUAGUUUGGGCACAAACACAUCCUUCAACCACACACACCCAUUUUUGUUUUUCAAACUCCAUUGCAGUUUAUUUCACACCUCAAACCUUUUGUAAACAGUGAAACACAGAAAAGUAAACUGUAAUAAAUUACAGCUUGCAAUAAUAAACCACUAAACAAACCAUCUUUAUGGUGAAAUUAUUUUACGUAUAGUUGUUGUUGUUUUUUUACUGUGUAAGAAUAUUCAACCAUGCUAUCAAUACAUUUUUCAAAAAAUGUCUCUCUGUGCAAAAUGAGUUUAAAAACAUAAACAACUGUGGGAUACUGUUUGUCAGUGAUUUGAACCAGGAAAACAAACUGUGGCAGGAUCAGCCUGAUAUUAUUUGUAUCCCACUGUAACUUUACUGUAUAAAGAGCUAACAUCGCCAAAAUUUCAUUAUAAGAAGUGUUUGUGAAUUAAAAAUCAAGAAUGUGGGAUACUGUUUGUCCGUGAUUUGAACAGUCCAGCGCAUGCUCCUGACGCAGGGGAAACAAAUUCUGUCGGGGAGACCAACCUUGGCAGCACCAUUGUGCAGG